CUACGGGGCGCAGCAGUGGGGAAUAUUGCACAAUGGGCGAAAGCCUGAUGCAGCAACGCCGCGUGGAGGAUGACACAUUUCGGUGCGUAAACUCCUUUUAUAUAGGAAGAUAAUGACGGUACUAUAUGAAUAAGCGCCGGCUAACUCCGUGCCAGCAGCCGCGGUAAUACGGAGGGCGCAAGCGUUACUCGGAAUCACUGGGCGUAAAGAGCGUGUAGGCGGAUAGAUAAGUUGGGAGUGAAAUCCUAUGGCUCAACCAUAGAACUGCUUCCAAAACUGUCUAUCUAGAGUAUGGGAGAGGUAGAUGGAAUUUCUGGUGUAGGGGUAAAACCCGUAGAGAUCAGAAGGAAUACCGAUUGCGAAGGCGAUCUACUGGAACAUUACUGACGCUGAGACGCGAAAGCGUGGGGAGCAAACAGGAUUAGAUACCCUUGUAGUC
rnacentral:rRNA from 1 species